CAGCAGCCGCGGUAAUACGAAGGGGGCUAGCGUUGCUCGGAAUAACUGGGCGUAAAGGGCGCGUAGGCGGCGAUCAAAGUCAGGCGUGAAAUUCCUGGGCUCAACCUGGGGGCUGCGUUUGAUACUUGAUUGCUAGAGUGGGGAAGAGGGUCGUGGAAUUCCCAGUGUAGGGGUGAAAUUCGUAGAUAUUGGGAAGAACACCGGUGGCGAAGGCGGCGACCUGGUCCUUGACUGACGCUGAGGCGCGAAAGCGUGGGGAUCAAACAGGAUUAGAUACCCCCGUAGUCCCUGUCUCUUAUAC
rnacentral:rRNA from 1 species